rnacentral:rRNA from 1 species
CCUACGGGAGGCAGCAGUGGGGAAUAUUGCACAAUGGGGGGAACCCUGAUGCAGCGACGCCGCGUGAGUGAAGAAGUAUUUCGGUAUGUAAAGCUCUAUCAGCAGGGAAGAAAAUGACGGUACCUGACUAAGAAGCCCCGGCUAACUACGUGCCAGCAGCCGCGGUAAUACGUAGGGGGCAAGCGUUAUCCGGAUUUACUGGGUGUAAAGGGAGCGUAGACGGUUAUGCAAGUCUGAAGUGAAAGCCCACGGCUCAACCAUGGGACUGCUUUGGAAACUGUAAAACUGGAGUGCAGGAGAGGUAAGCGGAAUUCCUAGUGUAGCGGUGAAAUGCGUAGAUAUUAGGAGGAACACCAGUGGCGAAGGCGGCUUACUGGACUGUAACUGACGUUGAGGCUCGAAGGCGUGGGGAGCAAACAGGAUUAGAUACCCUUGUAGUC